rnacentral:rRNA from 1 species
ACUCAAAUGAAUUGACGGGGGCUCACACAAGCGGUGGAGCAUGUGGAUUAAUUCGAAGCAACGCGCAGAACCUUACCUGGGUUUGACAUGCACGGAUGGGCUCCUGGAAACAGGGUGUUCUGCCCGCAAGGGUGAAACGUGCACAGGUGCUGCAUGGCUGUCGUCAGCUCGUGUCGUGAGAUGUCGGGUUAAGUCCUAUAACGAGCGAAACCCCUGCCGUUAGUUACCAUCGGGUCAUGCCGGGGACUCUAGCGGGACUGCCGGUGUUAAGCCGGAGGAAGGUGGGGAUGACGUCAAGUCCUCAUGGCCUUUAUGCCCAGGGCAUCACACGUGCUACAAUGGCGACUACAGAGCGACGCAAUACCGUGAGGUGGAGCCAAUCGCAAAAAGGUCGCCCCAGUUCAGAUUGUAGGCUGGCAACUCGCCUACAUGAAGGUGGAAUCGCUAGUAAUCGCGUAUCAGCCAUGACGCGGUGAAUGUGUUCCUGAGCCUUGCACACACCGCCCGU